UUGAUGGAUAGUAUGAAUGGUAUAACGAGUAUAACACUGUCUCAGAUAAAAAUCUUAUAAAAUUAGAAUAAUAGUAAAGAUACUAUUUUAAACUGUAAGACGAGAAGACCCUAUAGAGCUUAACUAUAACUCUUUAAAAAGUUGAUAAACUAGUUUAUCAAUAAAAAGAGAUAGGUAGUUUAGUUGGGGCGACUACUUUCUAAAACUAACGAAAGUAAACAAGAAUUAAUUAAAAAAUUUACUGUUUAAUUUAUGAAUUUAACAGUUAUUAUAAUAGGUAAUAAUGACCCGUUAAUAAUUGAUAAUAGUAUUAACGAUCAAUAAAUAAAAGCUACCUUAGGGAUAACAGGAUAAUUUUGUUCUAGAGAUCAAAUCGAAAACAAAGUUUGUCACCUCUAUGUUGAAUUAAGACAUCCUAAAAGCGCAGAAGCUUUUAAGGGUAGGUCUGUUCGACCUAUAAAGUCUUACAUGAUUUGAG
rnacentral:rRNA from 1 species